rnacentral:tRNA from 1 species
AAUUAGAUAACUUAAAUAAAGUAUUAACCUCUUAAGUUCAUUUAUAGUAAUAAAAUUUACUUCUAAUUA